rnacentral:rRNA from 1 species
UACGUAGGGGGCAAGCGUUGUCCGGAAUCAUUGGGCGUAAAGCGCGUGUAGGCGGCCAGAUAAGUCCGCUGUGAAAUCUCGAGGCUCAACUUCGAGCUGUCGGUGGAAACUGUCUGGCUAGAGUCCGGAAGAGGAGAAUGGAAUUCCUGGUGUAGCGGUGAAAUGCGUAGAGAUCCGGAGGAACCCCAGAGGCGAAGGCGGCGUCCUGGCUCCGCAUCUGACGCUCAGACACGACAGGCAUAGGGGAGCAAA